GUUCAUUUGUGUGCACCUGUGAAAUAUUGUCAGGAACUUACCUCGGAUUGCUCCAAGAAAAAGAAGAAACUGUAACAAAGAAGACAAAACUUGAAGAGAUGGACGAUUUAGGCUCAUGUGCUAUAGAAGUGACAUUCUUGAUAAAUGACACACUUGAUGUUCCUUCUGAGCACCAACAGAAAGUAA